UACGUAGGGCGCAAGCGUUGUCCGGAAUUAUUGGGCGUAAAGAGCUCGUAGGCGGUCUGUCACGUCGGAUGUGAAAACUCGGGGCUCAACCCCGAGCCUGCAUUCGAUACGGGCAGACUAGAGUUCGGUAGGGGAGACUGGAAUUCCUGGUGUAGCGGUGAAAUGCGUAGAUAUCUGGAGGAAUACCGGUGGCGAAGGCGGCAUCCUGGACCGACAUUGACGCUGAAAAGCGAAAGCUAGGGGAGCAAACGGG
rnacentral:rRNA from 1 species